rnacentral:rRNA from 1 species
UACGUAGGGGGCAAGCGUUGUCCGGAAUCAUUGGGCGUAAAGCGCGUGUAGGCGGUUUCGUAAGUCUGCUGUGAAAGUCGGAGGCUCAACCUUCGAAAGCCGGUGGAUACUGUGAGACUUGAGUACGGAAGAGGAGAGUGGAAUUCCUGGUGUAGCGGUGAAAUGCGCAGAUAUCGGGAGGAACACCUAUGGCGAAGGCAGCUCGCUGGGACGUUACUGACGCUGAGACGCGAAAGCGUGGGGAGCAAACAGG